rnacentral:lncRNA from 1 species
GUAUCUUGAUGUGAUUUAAUUGGAGGGUUUGAGCUGGCUUUUGGAAUGAAACCGAGAGAAAGAGGGAGGGGGUUCUCAGGCGUGAAACAGAGGAAAGAAAGAAAGAAAGAAAGAAAAAGAGAAGAAGAAGAAGAAGAAAGAAGAAGGAAGAGGAUUCGAGGAGGAAAGAGAUCCCGGUUGCACUUCCAACUGAAGGGAAAAACGUAGAUCUCCUUCUCCUCUACGCAAGGACCUCGAUUUCCAAAAAAAAAAGGUAAAUAUCCGUUCCUAUCUAGUCUUUUGAUGACAUUAGGCUAUACAAAGGGUGGAUAUAGUCUAGAGGGGUCGGAUAAGGGUUGUAGAGGCGGUUAAAAGAGGAAGAAUCGGAUUUUGACAAAUUUUUCCGGCACUACGGAAAAACUAUGUCGAAGUUCCAACUUCGGCGAAUUAUUUAGGGGGUCAAACGACCUCCGAUAGUAAUGCAUGUUACCUCUUUGGAAUUCCCUAUGAGUGUAGAAUGUUAGGUAAAAAUUUCAUCAAAUCUGGAGUUUGGAAAGUGGAUCAAACCCGGGAUGAAGUAACCGGCUGUCGGUCCGGGUUACUGUUCAUCCGAGUGGGAAAAUAAGAAAUUUUAUGCCAAAAUAGGGUAUUAAGCCUAGAUUAGGCUAAGAGAAACCUUGUACUCGUGCAAGGGAGUCCCUAAUACACAUAAAUGAUGAGUUAAUUAAUAGAAAAGGAAAAAGAGAAAGAAAAGAGAAGAUUUAGGGAACGGAGAAGUUGAAUCAAUUAAAGUUCCCUAUGUUAUAAUUGGCACGUAGAUUAUAGCCCUUGAUACAAGACUAAAUGUAUUGUAAAUGCAUGUCACAGUUAGGCAAGAAGCUAGGGAACAAGAAGAAGAAGUUCCCCACUGCCUGCUGUAGAUUUUUGGAGGCGUAUCAGGGCUGUGCCAGAUUGACAGGUGAGUGGGAGNNNNNNNNNNNNNNNNNNNNUGGUUAUUUUAUCAUACAAAAUUAAUUUCUCAGUUUGUUUACUAAACACAUAUUAAAGCACCACAAGAUUUUAGAAAUGUAGUUAGCAAAUAGCAAACAACUUUUUAUAAAAGCUCUACUUCAGACAGCUCUACUUUUAACAUCUCU